rnacentral:rRNA from 1 species
UACAGAGGGUGCGAGCGUUGUUCGGAAUUACUGGGCGUAAAGCGCGCGCAGGCGGCUUUCUAAGUCUGUUGGUGAAAGACCGGGGCUCAACCCCGUGUCAGCCAUGGAUACUGGGAGGCUGGAGACAGGUAGAGGCAAGCGGAAUUCCGGGUGUAGCGGUGGAAUGCGUAGAGAUCCGGAAGAACACCGGAGGCGAAGGCGGCUUGCUGGACCUGGUCUGACGCUGAGGCGCGAAAGCGUGGGGAGCGAACAGG